CGGCGAACGGGUGAGGAACACGUGAGGAAUCUACCUUCAACACUGGGAUAACUCCGGGAAACCGGGGCUAAUACCGGAUACGAGAUCGGCAGGCAUCUGCUGAUCUGGAAAGUUUUUCGGUUGAAGAUGACCUCGCGGCCUAUCAGCUUGUUGGUGAGGUAAUGGCUCACCAAGGCGACGACGGGUAGCCGGCCUGAGAGGGCGACCGGCCACACUGGGACUGAGACACGGCCCAGACUCCUACGGGAGGCAGCAGUGGGGAAUAUUGGGCAAUGGAGGAAACUCUGACCCAGCGACGCCGCGUGCGGGAUGAAGGCCUUCGGGUUGUAAACCGCUUUCAGCAGGGAAGAAGCGAAAGUGACGGUACCUGCAGAAGAAGCACCGGCUAACUAUGUGCCAGCAGCCGCGGUAAUACAUAGGGUGCAAGCGUUGUCCGGAAUUAUUGGGCGUAAAGAGCUCGUAGGUGGUUCGUCACGUCGGAUGUGAAAAUCUAGGGCUUAACCCUAGACCUGCAUUCGAUAC
rnacentral:rRNA from 1 species